GAUGCAGCAAUGUCGCGUGAGUGAAGAAGGCCCUUGGGUCGUAAAGCUCUUUUAUGGGGGAAGAUGAUGACGGUACCCCAAGAAUAAGCACCGGCUAACUAUGUGCCAGCAGCCGCGGUAAUACAUAGGGUGCGAGCGUUGUUCGGAAUUACUGGGCGUAAAGGGCGCGCAGGCGGAAUAGUAAGUCGGAGGUGAAAGCCCGGGGCUCAACCCCGGAGGGUCUUUCGAAACUGCUAAUCUAGAGAGGGUCAGGGGCCGGCAGAAUUCCUGGUGUAGAGGUGAAAUUCGUAUAUAUCAGGAGGAAUACCGGUGGCGAAGGCGGCCGGCUGGGGCCACUCUGACGCUGAGGCGCGAAAGCGUGGGGAGCAAACAGGAUUAGAUACCCUGGUAGUCCACGCCGUAAACGAUGAGCACUGGACGUCCGGAGGGUU
rnacentral:rRNA from 1 species